AACGCACAUUGCGCCCUUUGGUAUUCCGAAGGGCAUGCCUGUUCGAGCGUCAUUAUCACCCCUCAAGCCCCGUGCUUGGUGUUGGAGGGUCCGGUCGAGCGUCCCUCGACCCCUCCUAAAGACAAUGACGGCGGUCUCGUGGCACCCCCGGUACACUGAGCUUUUCACGAAGCACGUAUCGGAUCAAGGGCGCCCGGGACACGGUCUCCUCCCCUCGCGGGGAAAUACUCCUUUCAAGGUUGACCUCGGAUCAGGUAGGAAUACCCGCUGAACUUAA
rnacentral:misc_RNA from 1 species